rnacentral:rRNA from 1 species
CAGCACGGGAGCAAUCCUGGUGGCGAGUGGCGAACGGGUGAGUAAUAUAUCGGAACGUGCCCAGUCGUGGGGGAUAACGUAGCGAAAGCUACGCUAAUACCGCAUACGAUCUUUGGAUGAAAGCGGGGGAUCGCAAGACCUCGCGCGAUUGGAGCGGCCGAUAUCAGAUUAGGUUGUUGGUGGGGUAAAAGCCUACCAAGCCGACGAUCUGUAGCUGGUCUGAGAGGACGACCAGCCACACUGGGACUGAGACACGGCCCAGACUCCUACGGGAGGCAGCAGUGGGGAAUUUUGGACAAUGGGCGCAAGCCUGAUCCAGCAAUGCCGCGUGCAGGAUGAAGGCCUUCGGGUUGUAAACUGCUUUUGUACGGAGCGAAACAGCCUUUUCUAAUACAAGGGGCGAAUGACGGUACCGUAAGAAUAAGCACCGGCUAACUACGUGCCAGCAGCCGCGGUAAUACGUAGGGUGCAAGCGUUAAUCGGAAUUACUGGGCGUAAAGCGUGCGCAGGCGGUCUUGUAAGACAGAUGUGAAAUCCCCGGGCUUAACCUGGGACCUGCAUUUGUGACUGCAAGGCUGGAGUACGGCAGAGGGGGAUGGAAUUCCGCGUGUAGCAGUGAAAUGCGUAGAUAUGCGGAGGAACACCGAUGGCGAAAGCAGUCCCCUGGGCCUGUACUGACGCUCAUGCACG